AUUGAACGCUGGCGGCAUGCCUUACACAUGCAAGUCGAACGGUAACGGGCCUUCGGGUGCCGACGAGUGGCGAACGGGUGAGUAAUGCAUCGGAACGUGCCCAGUGGUGGGGGAUAGCCCGGCGAAAGCCGGAUUAAUACCGCAUACGACCUACGGGUGAAAGCGGGGGACUCGCAAGGGCCUCGCGCCAUUGGAGCGGCCGAUGUCAGAUUAGGUAGUUGGUGGGGUAAAGGCCUACCAAGCCGACGAUCUGUAGCUGGUCUGAGAGGACGACCAGCCACACGGGGACUGAGACACGGCCCAGACUCCUACGGGAGGCAGCAGUGGGGAAUUUUGGACAAUGGGCGCAAGCCUGAUCCAGCCAUGCCGCGUGCGGGAAGAAGGCCUUCGGGUUGUAAACCGCUUUUGUCAGGGAAGAAAUCCUGCGGGCCAAUAUCCUGCGGGGAUGACGGUACCUGAAGAAUAAGCACCGGCUAACUACGUGCCAGCAGCCGCAGUAA
rnacentral:rRNA from 1 species